rnacentral:lncRNA from 1 species
CUGAAAUGAAGUCUGCAUAGCCUGCUUGAGCACCUGAGCCAUCUGAGAAAUUAGUUUAAGCUGGGAUGCUGAACAGUCUUUCCCAGCAAUGUGGCAGCAGGGCUGCUCCAUGCAGGGAGGGAGGCAGAAGCAAGGUGGGCUGUGUCCACACUGACAAGUGUUCAUGCUUUGCUGCUGGUUCAGUCAGAGCCAUCAGUGUGUUACUGGACUUAUGAUGAAAUUUCAAGUAAAGGACAGAAAUGCCAUACUUCUUGCAGUACUGCCUGGAUUCAAGGGCAUGUUGUUUAUUUGUGGGCUUCUGAUACUGUGCUGCUAUCAAGCCUCCUUCAGAUGGGCCUUACUCAUGGAUUGGGGUACACAAGAUGCGAUGCAGUCCUUUUGUGAGGGGAAGAUACAAAUGAAAUAAAGGGAAGAGAAAUAUGAGAUGAUAGUAGUGUCAUGUUUCUGUUCAGAGGAGGAGACAGAACUAUAAAACAGUAUUCUCAUGUAAGUACAUACUGUUUUAGUGUCCUUCCUAAUAAUGACUUAGUGUUUUUU